UAAAGGGCAUCUAGGCGGCCAGAUAAGUCUGGGGUGAAAACUUGCGGCUCAACCGCAAGCCUGCCCUGGAAACUAUGUGGCUAGAGUACUGGAGAGGUGGACGGAACUGCACGAGUAGAGGUGAAAUUCGUAGAUAUGUGCAGGAAUGCCGAUGAUGAAGAUAGUUCACUGGACGGUAACUGACGCUGAAGUGCGAAAGCUAGGGGAGCAAACAGGAUUAGAUACCCUGGUAGUCCUAGCUGUAAACGAUGAUUACUGGGUGUGGGCAUGAAGAGUGUCCGUGCCGAAGCUAAUGCGAUAAGUAAUCCGCCUGGGGAGUACGGCCGCAAGGCUGAAACUCAAAGGAAUUGACGGGGACCCGCACAAGCGGUGGAGCAUGUGGUUUAAUUCGACGCAACGCGAGGAACCUUACCAGAUCUUGACAUCCUGCGUAGGCCUGCGAGAGCAGGCUGUGCCUUAGGGAACGCAGAGACAGGUGGUGCAUGGCUGUCGUCAGCUCGUGUCGUGA
rnacentral:rRNA from 1 species